rnacentral:rRNA from 1 species
CAUUCAGUUGCCAUCGGGUAAUGCCGGGCACUCUGGAAGGACUGCCAUCGACAAGAUGGAGGAAGUGGGGAUGACGGUCAAGUCAUCAUGGCCCUUAUGUCCAGGGCGACGACACGUGCUACAAUGGCCGGCACAACGGGAAGCGAGUUCGCGAGGACGAGCGGAUCCCUCAAAGACCGGUCGCAGUUCGGAUUGAAGUCUGCAACUCGACUUCAUGAAGCUGGAAUCGCUAGUAAUCGUGGAUCAGCCAAGCCGCGGUGAAUACGUUCCCGGGCCUU